rnacentral:tRNA from 1 species
GCUCGUUAGCUUAGUUGGUAAAGCGCUCGUCUAGCAUACAAGAGUCCUGGGUUCAAAUCCCAGCCGAGUA